rnacentral:rRNA from 1 species
UGGGGAAUUUUGGACAAUGGGCGAAAGCCUGAUCCAGCAAUGCCGCGUGUGUGAAGAAGGCCUUCGGGUUGUAAAGCACUUUUGUCCGGAAAGAAAUCCUUGGCUCUAAUACAGUCGGGGGAUGACGGUACCGGAAGAAUAAGCACCGGCUAACUACGUGCCAGCAGCCGCGGUAAUACGUAGGGUGCAAGCGUUAAUCGGAAUUACUGGGCGUAAAGCGUGCGCAGGCGGUUUGCUAAGACCGAUGUGAAAUCCCCGGGCUCAACCUGGGAACUGCAUUGGUGACUGGCAGGCUAGAGUAUGGCAGAGGGGGGUAGAAUUCCACGUNUAGCAGUGAAAUGCGUAGAGAUGUGGAGGAAUACCGAUGGCGAAGGCAGCCCCCUGGGCCAAUACUGACGCUCAUGCACGAAAGCGUGGGGAGCAAACAGGAUUAGAUACCCUGGUAGUCCACGCCCUAAACGAUGUCAACUAGUUGUUGGGGAUUCAUUUCCUUAGUAACGUAGCUAACGCGUGAAGUUGACCGCCUGGGGAGUACGGUCGCAAGAUUAAAACUCAAA